rnacentral:rRNA from 1 species
UAGGGAAUCUUCGGCAAUGGACGAAAGUCUGACCGAGCAACGCCGCGUGAGUGAAGAAGGUUUUCGGAUCGUAAAACUCUGUUGUUAGAGAAGAACAAGGACGUUAGUAACUGAACGUCCCCUGACGGUAUCUAACCAGAAAGCCACGGCUAACUACGUGCCAGCAGCCGCGGUAAUACGUAGGUGGCAAGCGUUGUCCGGAUUUAUUGGGCGUAAAGCGUGCGCAGGCGGUUUCUUAAGUCUGAUGUGAAAGCCCCCGGCUCAACCGGGGAGGGUCAUUGGAAACUGGGAUACUGGAGUGCAGAAGAGGAGAGUGGAAUUCCAUGUGUAGCGGUGAGAUGCGUAAAUAUGUGGAGGAACACCAGUGGCGAAGGCGGCUCUCUGGUCUGUAACUGACGAUGAGGCUCGAAAGCGUGGGGAGCAAACAGG